GCUGGGUGUGGUGGUGCACACCUGUAAUCCCAGCUACUUAGGAGGCUGAGGCAGGAGAAUUGCUUGAACCUGGGAGGUGGAGGUUGCAGUGAGCUGAGAUUGAGCCACUGCACUCCAGCCUGGGUGACAGAGGGAGACUCCGUCUCAA
rnacentral:SRP_RNA from 1 species